ensembl:snRNA U6 U6 spliceosomal RNA
UUGCUUCAAUAGCAUGAACACUGAAAUUGGAAUGACAUGAAGAAAAUUACCAGGGCCUCUGUGCAUGAAUGACAUACAACUAUAUGAAAUGUUUCAUGUUUUA